UAUUUGGCCUUCUUCUUUUAUUUCAAUUAUCUUUUCUGAAAUAAAAGUAAGGAACAGUCAAAGCAGUGGUUACAAACUUUUUUGAAAAUGUUUUAAGCCAAGAUAUUCACUUACAGUUCCAACUUCCAACCAAACCUUUCCAGUUUUCAGUCCGUCCAUUGCAGAGAAAACAUCAAUACAAGAGAAAAGUUUUCCAUCGAACAAGAUUCAAAGAUAGCAUUAGAACGGUAGAAUACCAAUCUAAUAUACCUAUUUUGGGACGGCACUUUCAAAGUGAGGCGACUAAAAGAGGAGUCACACAAGUGCUAAUAUUUUAGUUAUUGACACAAGAGAUGACCCGAGACAUCAUCAAAUACAGCAGAUGAAGAAAGAUAAAAUACAGAUCAACAUUGGUGAAUAUGAAAAUCAAGUACAAUAGCAAAUUAUAACAGACAUUUCAUAUGAGCUCUAUAGAAUGGAUCAGAAGUAGCAAACGACGUAGAUAUAAUUUUUCUUUUUAUCCAAUUUUGAAUGUUGAUUUAAUUUUGCCUGAUGCUAUCAUUCUUUUCUUCAUCAGAUUUUUCA